rnacentral:rRNA from 2 species
GUACGUACAAGCAGUGGGAGCACAGGUUUACCUGUGUGACUGCGUACCUUUUGUAUAAUGGGUCAGCGACUUAUAUUCUGUAGCAAGGUUAACCGUAUAGGGGAGCCGUAGGGAAACCGAGUCUUAACCGGGCGUUAAGUUGCAGGGUAUAGACCCGAAACCCGGUGAUCUAGCCAUGGGCAGGUUGAAGGUUGGGUAACACUAACUGGAGGACCGAACCGACUAAUGUUGAAAAA